rfam:Stegodyphus mimosarum contig107941, whole genome shotgun sequence.
GCCUUCGUGGUGUAAUGGUCAGCACACUGACCGGUAUUUCAGAGGUCCGUGGUUCGAUCCCCGGCGAAGGCA